rnacentral:rRNA from 1 species
UACGAAGGGGGCUAGCGUUGUUCGGAAUCACCGGGCGUAAAGCGCACGUAGGCGGCUUGCUAAGUCAGGGGUGAAAUCCUGGAGCUCAACUCCAGAACUGCCUUUGAUACUGGCGAUCUCGAGUCCGGGAGAGGUGAGUGGAACUGCGAGUGUAGAGGUGAAAUUCGUAGAUAUUCGCAAGAACACCAGUGGCGAAGGCGGCUCACUGGCCCGGUACUGACGCUGAGGUGCGAAAGCGUGGGGAGCAAACAGG